rnacentral:lncRNA from 1 species
AUGAGUUGGAACCAGCCUUGCCGAAAACCUACUUGCAUUGUCCUGAUAAAAACUGUACGAUCCAUGAUGUUUCGGUGUCCUGCGUCCUGUAGAGGAGUCCGUGUACCCAAAAUAUCACAUCUGGAAAUUAUUCAUAAAACAAACCGCAUCCUGUUCUAUAAAUAUGUGCAAGAAACUCAACCAACUGUUUAAAAAGAUCAAGCGAUACAGAGAAGUAUCACCUGCAUGCAGAUGGAAUGGGCUCCAGGAUCUUGUUUUCUGUGUCCUUCAAAACCAUGUGUCUUCUUUAGAGUGAUGCUCACAAGUAUUCCCCACUCAAAAAAGCUAUUUAUGUAUGGUUAGUGUUAGUAUGCAAAGCUACAUAUCUGCAUUCCUUCACAUACAGAAGGCCUUUACCUCAGUUCUACCAAUGUAUUUACUUGAUGGAGACAAGAACUUUUCCUUUCAUGGUUUUCAUUAAGCAAGCCCUCAAUCCUAUGUAUUAAAGAGCAUUAAAAAUGCAAGAUUCCUUAAAUUAUUAAUAGACAUACAUCAGUGACCAGUUGGGAUCAUUUCUACUACUUGAAAAAAAACUUACAAAGACCAUCACUUUGGACACAUUUUCUUAAAUCGUAGAUUCUGUAUUUCAGGUAAAUUGAAAAAUUAAUCAAAAAUUCUGGUGGGUUUACAUUUCAUAGUACAUGUAACUAGGAAAAAGAAGUAUUGUCCAGAAACUGUGGUGAAACCUCUAUAUCUAUGGUAGCAGCAAGCUGUAAGAUGUUAACAUGUUAACCUCCUUAUCUCAGGGUACCUUUCCAAGUAGAUUGGGAAUUAAUCUAAUAAUCUCAAUUGGUAAGUCUGACAAUGGUGAGAGGCAAUAGAAUGCAUGAUCAAAAUGAAUGUUAUUAGAAAGAACUAACCUUUUGUAUCAACGAGGAGGUUAAAUUCCUCUUACUCUUCUUUGUCCUUUCUGGGGCCUGGGGUAUGCAGGUUAUACUCCUUUGUAGACUUUUCUGCCAAUUAAUAUAUUCUUAUUCAUCAAGAAUCAUCUCUCAUGUUAUGUAUCAAUAAAUUUCUCCCUCUUGAUGAUUUUUUUUAUAGU